rnacentral:rRNA from 1 species
GACGAACGCUGGCGGCGUGCUUAACACAUGCAAGUCGAGCGGUAAGGCCCUUUCGGGGGUACGACGAGCGGCGAACGGGUGAGUAACACGUGGGUGACCUGCCCUCAGCUCUGGGAUAAGCCUGGGAAACUGGGUCUAAUACUGGAUAUGACUCCACGGUGCAUGUCGUGGGGUGGAAAGCCUUGUGCGGCUGAGGAUGGGCCCGCGGCCUAUCAGCUUGUUGGUGGGGUGANGGCCUACCAAGGCGACGACGGGUAGCCGGCCUGAGAGGGCGACCGGCCACACUGGGACUGAGACACGGCCCAGACUCCUACGGGAGGCAGCAGUGGGGAAUCUUGCGCAAUGGGCGAAAGCCUGACGCAGCGACGCCGCGUGAGGGAUGACGGCCUGG